rnacentral:lncRNA from 1 species
CCCUUUUAUAAAUAUCUAACAUUCCCUGUAAUAUUAAAUCGAGACCAAUCCACAUCAACCAAAUCAAUUCAACAUAUUUUCAUGAUAGAUUCAUGCAUUUAUAUAAGAUAACGUCAUCACAUAUCUAUAACCAGGUUUGUUAACCAUACUAAUGGCUAACUUUACAUUCAUUUCACAUUAACAUUUACUUAGUUAGCUUAUACAUGCCAUUGAUUUCCAAAAUAAAGUUUCUUUAUAUACCAAAAUCCUGAGGUUGACAGUGUGAUAUGUCUCCGACCAAAUCCAACCUCCGAGCUCUUAACACUAUAAAACAGGGAAAAAGGAAACGGGGUAAGCACUUUGUGCUUAGUAAGCUCAUGUAACAAGAAUUAUACUUACCUAAUAUUUUCAAUACAAUAUAAUAAACAUUCAUAUAUCCAUUCAAUGCAUUAUUACCCUAACAUGCACAAACUCAACAUUCAAGUUAGUACAAUAAUUUCCAUGUAUCAAUAAUAUAUAUACCAUGAUUGAUGAGCUCGUCAAUACCAUGAUUUCCAUUUCCUUGUUAUUUUUCCAUAUUUAUCCCGUUGAAUUUAUUGGAAUUUCAAUGGAUUUUCAGAGGUACACUUUUAGUGUACAAUUCCGGGUCCGUCAAUUCAUAUUUAUGUGCGCACAUUUCCAUUUCAGAGAGCACACUCCCGCGAACCUCAACCUUGCAGCGGGAUUACCAGUCCAGGCUAAAUCCCCUGCAAUAUAAACUCAUAGAGUAUUGUCGGGAUUACCAGUCCAGGCUAAAUCCCCUGCAACGACAAUUACUCUAAUGAGCUUGGAUCUGAAUUACCAGCCCAGGCUAAAUUCAGACCCUAAUUCGGAUUACCCGUCCGGGCUAAAUCCAUUUUACACAUAUUCUUCGGGAGGGCUAUAUCAGGAUAGGAUCACCCGUCCGGGCUAGAUCCUUUUUACCGUCAAUUCCUUUUCAGAGAUCCAUCGAAUUUUCCUUUCAUUCAAUCGGGAUUUCUUCCCAUUUUAUCAAAUAUAUCAAUGUUUCAUUAAUUUUCAUACAAUGAACACUCAAAUCAUAUUCACAUCAAUAACAUACAAUCUCAAGCAUUUAAGAAUAUAAUUCAAGUUACACGAACUUACCUUGAUACUUGUUUGUAAACAGUAAAAAUCUACUAAUCCCGAACUUUUUCUUUCCUCGAUCUAGCUUCGUAUUUGAAUCUUCUAGAUCUAAAUAAAUAAAUUUAAUUAUCAAUUUAAUACAUUUCAUGUUCAUCUGCAACAUUCUCUAUAAUUCAACUAUUAUUUAUAGUUCAUUCAGAGCUGUCUACUUGAGUCAUAGUCACUAAAUUAUUUAUAACUUCAGCUACGGAACUCCAAAUUAAGAUCCGUUAAUUUUCCCUGAAACUAGACUCAUAUAUAUUUUUACCAUAAAGUUUUCAGAAUUUUUGGUUUAGCCAAUCAGUACAGUUUAUUCUUCAAAGUCACCCCUGUUUUGUUGUCUAACAGUUCUGACCCUUCUUCACUAAAAAUAAAUUAUCUCUUUAUACAGAAUUCAAAUAAUGUUCUUGUUUGUUUCUAUUAAAAAUAGACUCAUUCAGAAUUCUAGACAUAUAAAUUUAAGUCCCUAAUUUUUUUUAUUCAAUUUUUUUAUAAAUUUUCAAAAUCAGAACAGGGGAACCCGAAUUCAUUCUGACCUUGUCUCACAAAAUUCAUUAUAUCUCAAAAUUUACAAAUCCAUUGCUUACAAUAUUUCUUCUAUGAGAAACUAGACUCAAUAAGCUUUAAUUUCAUAUUUUGUUCAUCUUCUAAUUCGAUUCAUAAAAUUUUUGGUGAUUUUUCAAAGUUAGUCUACUGAUGCUGUCCAAACUGUUUUAGUGCAAGCUGUUUAUUACCAUUUUUCCCCUAAGCUUUUAAUAAAUGAUAAUUUCAUCCCUACUCAAUUAGCCUCUCAAUUGAGCUGAUUUUUCUCAAUUAAUGUUUUAUUCUAUCACCUCAAACUAGUUUAAAACCUUUAGGAAUCAUAAUUUCAGCAAUAGACUUUAAUUCCAAACAUUUUCACAAUUAGGUCCUAAAAAAUCAAUUUCCAUUGAAAUUCCUAAUAAAAUCAUCUCAUAAACAAAUUAAAGCUUUAAUUUCAUUCUAUUUCAUCAUAAACUUACAGCACUCAACCAUGGUGACUUUCAAUUUCAUCCAUGAAAUCAAAAACUAAUGAAUUUAAUAGUAGGACCUAGUUGUAAAAGUCUUAGAAACACAAAAAUUACAAGAAAAAGGCAAGGAUUAACUCACUUGGUGCAAAAAUUAUGAAAUACCAGCUUAGAGAACCCUCCUAUGGCGUUUUUAGCUGCUGGAAUUGAAGAGAAAUGAAGAGAAAUCUAGAUAUUUCCUAUUUAGUCCUAUUUUUAUUUAGUUAAUUUUGCAAUAUUCCAAUUUUACCCUUAAUUUAUCAAUUUUUCUGCUGAUUUCAUGCCCUUGCCGUCCAGCCCAAAUAACUUUUGGGUCUAAUUGCCUUUAAAUCCUUUCUCAUUAGACUCUUAAGCUAUUUAAUCACUCUAGCAACUUUUACACCUAUUACAAUUUAGUCCUUUUUAUUUAAUUGACUACCCAAACAUUAAAAUUUCCUAACGAAAUUUUAAUACCACACUAAUAACAUUUCAUAAAUAUUUAUGAAAUUAUUUUUGACUCGGUUUUACGAGAUAGAGGUCUCGAUACCUUGUUUUUACCCAAUUUCUUCAAUAAUUUCUUUUUCUAUCUAAUCACUAAAUUGGUAAAAUUUUUCUAUCAAUAUUUUCAUACAAUUUUUCUAUCAUAUCAAUUUUCAAGAAAAAAUAUUGAAAUAAAUUUCUCUUUAAAUCGGAUCUAUGGUUACGAAACCAUUGUUCCGAUAACAUUAAAUUUAGGCCAUUACAACUCUCCCCCCCUUUUAAGGAUUUUCGUCCUCGAAAAUCUUACCAGUAAAGAGGUUUGGGUAUUGUUUCCUCAUUGCCUCCUCCGGUUCCCAUGUUGCUUCCUCAAUCCCGUGCUUUUGCCACAAUACUUUCACCAAAUUUAUCUUUUUAUUUCUAAGCUCUUUUGUCUCCCGUGCCAAUAUCUUGACCGGUUCUUCACUGUAAGUCAUAUCCGGUUGAAUCUCUACUUCUAUCGGAGAAAUAACAUGUGAAGGAUCUGAUCGAUAUCGUCGUAACAUAGAUACAUGAAAAACAUUAUGGAUUCUAUCAAGUUCCGGUGGUAAUGCCAAUCGAUAAGCGAACGGUCCAAUUCUUUCUAUGAUUUCAUAGGGCCCGAUAAAUCUUGGACUCAAUUUACCCUUUCGACCGAAUCGAAGAAAUUUCUUCCAAGGAGACACUUUCAGAAAUACCUUGUCACCGACUUGAAAUUCAAUCUCUUUUUGCUUAAGGUCGGCAUAUGAUUUUUGACAAUCGGAAGCUACUUUUAGACUAUCUCGAAUAACCUUUACUUUUUCUUCUGUUUCCCGGAUCAAAUCAACCCCAUGUAUCUUCCUUUCACUGAGCUCUAUCCAAUAUAACGGUGUUCUACAUUUUCUACCAUACAAAGCUUCAUACGGAGCCAUUUUAAUACUGGACUGAUAACUAUUAUUGUAAGCAAAUUCAAUCAAAGGUAGAUACCUCUCCCAAUUACCUUCAAACUCUAGUAUACAACAUCGGAGCAUAUCUUCCAAUACUUGAAUUACACGCUCAGAUUGACCAUCUGUCUGAGGAUGAAAUGCAGUGCUGAAAUACAAUUGAGUACCCAAAGCUUCUUGCAAUUUGUCCCAGAAACGAGACGUAAAUUGGGGAUCUCUAUCUGAUAUAAUGGAGACAGGUACUCCAUGUAACCUGACAAUCUCAGAUAUGUACAGUUCAGCUAGUUUAUCUAAAGAAUAAUCCAUACGUACCGGAAUAAAGUGAGCUGACUUUGUUAACCGAUCAACAAUCACCCAAAUAGUAUCUUUUUUCCUCGGAGACAAAGGUAGCCCCGAUACAAAAUCCAUAGUGAUUAUUUCUCAUUUCCAUUCCGGUAUAGUGAUUGGCUGAAGUAACCCCGAAGGUACCUGAUGUUCAGCUUUAACUUGUUGACAUAUUAAACACCUUGAUACAAACUCAGAGAUAUCACGUUUCAUUCCUGACCACCUGUACAUCUUUUUUAGAUCAUUAUACAUUUUAUUACUCCCCGGAUGUACAGAUAUAAUACCGCUGUGAGCCUCGCGUAGAAUCUUCUGUAUGAGCUCUGAAUUCUGAGGUACACAUACCCUACCUCUGAAUAAUAAACAACCAUCAGAACCAAUCUGAAAUUCAGAAUCAUUACCUGACUCACACUGUGCCCGUUUAACUUGUAACUUCUCAUCAUUCUUCUGAGCUUCACAUAUUUGCUGUAAAAAUUUCGGUUUAGCUCUAAAUUCAGCUAGGAUUGAACCAUCAUCAGUCAAUGAUAACCGGGUAUUCAUAGCUCGUAAAGCAAACAGAGAUUUCCGGCUCAAAGCAUCAGCUACAACAUUAGCCUUACCCGGAUGGUAAUCAAUAAUCAAAUCAUAGUCCUUUAUCAGUUCAAGCCACUUGCGCUGUCUCAAAUUCAAAUCUUUCUGUGUCAUCAAAUAUUUCAAGCUUUUAUGAUCAGUAUAAAUAUGACAUUUCUCACAAUACAAGUAAUGCCACCAUAUCUUCAUCGCAAAUACAAUAGCAGCUAAUUCAAGAUCAUGUACUGGUAAUUUCUUUCAUGUGGUUUAAGUUGUCUUGAAGCAUAGGCUAUUACUUUGCCUUCUUGCAUCAAAACACAACCUAAACCAUUUAAUGAGGCAUCACUAUAAAUAACAAAUUCCUUACCCGGUUCAGGCUGCACUAAUACAGGUGCUUUCGUUAAUAGGUCUUUCAAUCGGUUGAAACUUUGUUGACAUUCAUCAGUGCAGUCGAACUUUACAUCUUUCUGCAAUAAUCGAGUCAUUGGAGAAGCUAUCAUAGAGAAUCCCUGUACAAACCUCCGAUAAUAACCAACUAAACCCAAGAAACUUCUAACUUCAGAUACAUUCUUCGGUGGACUCCAAUUGACAAUAGCUGAGAUUUUACUUGGAUCUACCCUGAUGCCUUCGGCAGAUACAAUGUGUCUAAGAAAACCCACUUCUCGAAGCCAAAAUUCACAUUUACUGAAUUUAGCAUACAACUGCUUCUCUCGUAGAAUUUGUAACACAAUUCUCAAAUGUUCUGCAUGUUCUUCUUCAUCCCGAGAAUAAACAAAAUAUCAUCAAUGAAUACUACUACAAAUCUGUCUAAGUACGGUCUGAAUAUCCGAUUCAUCAAAUCCAUGAAUACUGCAGGUGCAUUAGUUAGCCCAAACGGCAUAACUAGAAACUCAUAAUGCCCGUACCUAGUUCUAGAGGCUGUUUUUGGCACAUCUGACUCCUUUACCCGUAACUGAUAAUAACCUGAUCAAAGAUCAAUCUUUGAAAACAUAGUAGCACCUUUCAGCUGAUCAAAUAAAUCAUCAAUCCGGGGUAACGGGUACUUAUUCUUUAUGGUUACUUUAUUAAGUUGCCGGUAGUCGAUACACAAUCUCAAAGACCCAUCUUUCUUUUUCACAAACAGAACCGGAGCACCCCAAGGUGAAUGACUCGGUCGGACAAAACCCAUGUCAACAAGCUCUUGCAACUGUGUCUUUAACUCUUUUAAUUCUAUAGGAGCCAUCCGGUACGGAGCUAUGGAGAUCGGAGUAGUUCCCGGAAUCAAAUCUAUAGAAAAUUCCACUUCUCUUUCUGGUGGCAAUCUUGGUAAUUCUUCUGGAAACACAUCGAAAAAUUCACAUACCACUGGAACUGCCUGUAUCUUUGACUCAGAUACCUUAGUGUCGAGUACAUAAGCCAAGUAAGCAUUAUACCCCUUUUUGACAUACCUCUGUACUGCCAUUACUGAAAUCAUAUCAGAUAACCCCUCUAUCUGAUCAGAUUUAACUCGGAGCAACUCACCAUUCUGACAUUUUAGCACAAUAUAUUUUUGUCUACAAUUUAUUACCGCAUCAUGCUGGGUUAACCAAUCCAUGCCCAAUAUCACGUCAAAUUCAUCAAAUGGCAGUAACAUCAAAUCAGCCGAGAAACAAUAACCUCUUACCAUCAAUGGACAAUUUUUACAAAUUUUAUCCACUAACACAGACUGGCCCAGGGGGUUCGAGACUUUAACCACAAAUUCAAUAGGUUCAACAGAUAAAUUUUUAACAAUUGCAAGUUUAACACAUAUAUAUGAAUGCGUAGAACUAGGAUCAAUCAAUGCAGUAAUAUCAGUAUCAAGUAAAGAAAAUGUACCAGUAAUAACAUCGGGUGCUGAGGCAUCUUCUCUGGCACGAAUGGCAUAUGUCCUAGCAGGUGCUCGUGCCUCAGGCCUACCUGCAGUAUCUUUUGUAGCUCCUCAACAACCACUGACAUUACCGGAUGGUCGAGGUGGUCUACCUCUCGAAACUGGAUUACUCAGCUUCGAUAUCUGUUCAGCUUCUUUUUCACCCCUUUCUAGACAAUCUCUGAGGAAAUAGUCAAAAGAACCACAUCGGUAACAAGCCCCACACUUAAAUCGGCAUUCACCAAAAUGAGCUUUAUUACAGUACUGGCAUCUCGGUUUAGGAGUGCCAACACUGCCAACACUGGUCACUGAUGGAGUAGAAGGCCUUGGAUUAGUGCGUUGAGAACUUCGCUCUUUGCCCAAAUACCCAAUGGUUGAAGUAGAACGAUCCUGAUAUUUCUUCAAUUUCUUUGAAGCAGAAAACUGAGAUUUUCCCAUCGGUCUUUUACUAAAAAUUCGAGCUUUCCUCUCAGCGUGUUUCUUUUCUUUGUUCAAUUCUUCUGCUUUAUAAGCUCUCUCUGCCAAUGUAGCAAACUCUCGAAUUUCAAGAAUUCUGAUCAGUAACUUAAUGUCUUCAUUCAACCCUUCUUCGAAUCGUUUGCACAUUUCAGCUUCUGACUGUACCCAUUCUCGAGCAUAUUUACUCAAUCGAACAAAUUCUCUUUCAUAUUCAGAUACUGAUCUAUUGUCCUGUUUCAGCUCAAGAAAUUCUUUUCUUUUCUGGUCAUGGAACCUCUAGCUGAUAUAUUUUUUUCUGAACUCGGUCUGAAAGAAUUCUCAUGUAAUUUCUUCUUUCGGAACAACUGAAGCUUUAGUAUUCCACCAAUGGUAAGCUGUAUCUUUUAGCAAUGAGACGGCACAUUUCAGACAUUCUUCUGGUGUACAAGAUAAUUCUUCCAGAACCCGAGUAGUGUUUUCUAACCAGAAUUCAGCCCGUUCGGAAUCAUCAUCAACUGCUGCUCGAAAUUCUUCGGCCCCAUAUUUUCGAAUUUUAUCUACUGGAGCUUUCCCUUUUCUGACAGAUUCAGUACCUGUACCUUGUGGGAUCUCGGGAACCGGUGGAGGAGCAGGAAGGGGAACUUGAACUUGCUCCACUACAAGGUUAGUUCUUAGGUAUUGAUUAAACCAUUCAUUCAUCAUUUGAAAGAAGGCUAUUUUUGCCUCCUCCCCUCGACCCUCUGUCUCGGGCCUUCUACUGCUAGUUUCUUCUCUUUGUACUAAAUCCGGAGCAUGACUCCCAGCUUCCUCAGAUUGAGCUCGGUCGGAUGACAUUACUAUAAGAAAAACACAUUUUAAAUGGUCAAGAGAUAUCACACUAUCAAUAAUAAUUUAAAUGGCAUGUAUAGCUAAUCCCGUAUUUGCUACAUCGAUCCUAGAACCGGCUAAACCGUAGCUCUGAUACCAAUAAAUGUAAUACCCCUACCCGUAUUCAUUAUCGGAAUAGGGUACGAGGCAUUACCGGAGUUUACAAAUUAAUUUUUUUUAUAUUCAAUAUAGCCCUUUUAUAAAUAUCUAACAUUCCCUGUAAUAUUAAAUCGAGACCAAUCCACAUCAACCAAAUCAAUUCAACAUAUUUUCAUGAUAGAUUCAUGCAUUUAUAUAAGAUAACGUCAUCACAUAUCUAUAACCAGGUUUGUUAACCAUACUAAUGGCUUACUUUACAUUCAUUUCACGUUAACAUUUACUUUGUUAGCUUAUACAUGCCAUUGAUUUCCAAAAUAAAGUUUCUUUAUAUGCCGAAAUCCUGAGGUUGACAGUGUGAUGUGUCUCCGACCAAAUCCG